rnacentral:rRNA from 1 species
UACGUAGGUGGCAAGCGUUGUCCGGAGUUAUUGGGCGUAAAGCGCGCGCGGGCGGUCCGAAAAGUCCAUGGUGAAAGCGCCCGGCUCAACUGGGCGAGUGCCGUGGGGACUAUCGAGCUGGAGGGGAGCAGAGGCGAGUGGAAUUCCGGGUGUAGUGGUGAAAUGCGUAGAGAUCCGGAGGAACACCAGUGGCGAAGGCGGCUCGCUGGGCUUUACCUGACGCUGAGGCGCGAAAGCGUGGGGAGCGAACCGG